GCGGGACCGGAGCUUCCCUGGCCCGGGGUCCGGCUCAGGCCUUGGGUCAAGACCGCUGCUGGGGGGGGCGCGGGGGACUCGAGGGUGAGCAGUUCUCCCGAGAGAGACACCUGACUUAUCUAAUGUGAUAAGCACAGUCUUUCCAGAGUUUGUUUUCUAGAUUCAGCCAUCACCACCCUAAAGAAGUUAGGAUAAAAUUAGCCUAAUUUCAUUUGACCUUGUCUUGCUCCAAGGUUGAGUUUUCCAUCCCCUGGCCUACGGGCACCCACCGGUUCUCCAGCCAUUGUCAACUGAUCCACCAUUUGUGUCUAAGAAUUUUUUUAAGGUUUAUUUAUUCAUGAGACAGAGAGAGAGAGAGAGAGAGAGAGACAGGCAGAGGGAGAAGCAGGCCCCCUGCAGGGAGCCCGACGCGGGACUCGAUCCGGGGUCCCCAAGAUCACGCCCUGGGCUGCAGGCGGCGCGAACCCGCGGAGCCACCCGGGCUGCCCGUGUGUCUGAGAAUUCUUGCCGGGACUAUUUUUAUCAUCUUCUGCUCAGCCCUCAACACACAGGAUGGCCUAUCUGUAUCUUUACACAAGGUUAUUUCGACUACUUUCCAGUUGAAAUGUUAAGAGGCAUAUUCUUGUGUUAACUCAUUUCUCGUUUGGAAACACAAGAUGGGCAGCGCUUUGGAUGUUGCUACUCACUGAGAGAUCCAGACGGGGAGACCAGGCGGAGGAGGGCAGAUGGCACCGGCACUCCAGGUGGGGUGAAGCAGCGCCCACAUGGCCUAUACAAAAGCACUCCAUGUUUCUGCCAAUACUCUUAUGUCCUUGGUUGCCUGAGCAAAAAUGCAUAAAGAGGGCUGCUUGGAGGGAAAAGGACAAUACAAUACCUUUGGAAGUAUUUCAAAGAGCAACUUCUCAUCACUCUGGUUUCAUGAAGAGGAGGAGAAAGGGAGAAAACCUUGGGAUUAUUAAAGUCCUCUAUUCUAACUUAAUGGUCUUGCUCGACAAGAGAAUUCUUCUGGUUUGUGGUUCAAUCGAUGUUAACAGCUGCCAACAGUUCAUUACUUUCAAGAAUUAUACCUAA
rnacentral:lncRNA from 12 species